UACGGAGGGAGCUAGCGUUGUUCGGAAUUACUGGGCGUAAAGCGCGCGUAGGCGGCUUUGUACGUUAGAGGUGAAAGCCCGGAGCUCAACUCCGGAACUGCCUUUAAGACUGCAUCGCUUGAAUCCAGGAGAGGUGAGUGGAAUUCCGAGUGUAGAGGUGAAAUUCGUAGAUAUUCGGAAGAACACCAGUGGCGAAGGCGGCUCACUGGACUGGUAUUGACGCUGAGGUGCGAAAGCGUGGGGAGCAAACAGG
rnacentral:rRNA from 1 species